GUUCUUUGAGGCAGUGCUCCAUCUUCCUCAUCGUCGUCAAAUUCAAGCAAGUACCUGAUAAAUAAUCAGAUGAACAAUUCUGUUACAUGAUUGCAGGUGAUUUUCGGUUCGGCAAAAGCACAGAAUGGAAUAUAAAGUUGUAAAUAACACAGAAGGCGAGGGCAGGGGAUACUUACUCGUCAGACUUCCUCUGGCCGCAUGAGACAUGCAGUUGCCUUGUAGAGAGCUGUUGUCCCUGGAUAUACAGCCAAGACGUGUUGCCCCGGAGGAAAUUCUUGGGCGCAAGAAGGGUUGU